GACGAACGCUGGCGGCGUGCUUAACACAUGCAAGUCGUACGGUAAGGCCCUUUCGGGGGUACACGAGUGGCGAACGGGUGAGUAACACGUGAGUAACCUGCCCACAACUUUGGGAUAACGCUAGGAAACUGGUGCUAAUACUGGAUAUGUGCUCCUGCUGCAUGGUGGGGGUUGGAAAGCUCCGGCGGUUGUGGAUGGACUCGCGGCCUAUCAGCUUGUUGGUGGGGUAGUGGCCUACCAAGGCGGCGACGGGUAGCCGGCCUGAGAGGGUGACCGGCCACAUUGGGACUGAGAUACGGCCCAGACUCCUACGGGAGGGAGCAGUGGGGAAUAUUGCACAAUGGGCGCAAGCCUGAUGCGGCAACGCCGCGUGCGGGAUGACGGCCUCGGGUUGUAAACCGCUUUCAGCAGGGACGAAGCUUUUUGUGACGGUACCUGCAGAAGAAGCACCGGCUAACUACGUG
rnacentral:rRNA from 1 species